AUUGAACGCUGGCGGCGUGCCUAACACAUGCAAGUCGAGCGUGAUUUAUGAGGACGAAACUUCGGUCUAGGAAUCAUAAUGAAAGCGGCGGACGGGUGAGUAACGCGUAGGCAACCUGCCCUUAACACAGGGAUAGCCUCGGGAAACCGGGAUUAAAACCUGAUGAUGCCAAAGAGUCACAUGGCUCGUUGGCCAAAGAUUUAUCGGUUAAGGAUGGGCCUGCGUCUGAUUAGGUUGUUGGUGGGGUAACGGCCUACCAAGACUACGAUCAGUAGCCGACCUGAGAGGGUGAUCGGCCACAUUGGAACUGAGACACGGUCCAAACUCCUACGGGAGGCAGCAGUGGGGAAUAUUGCACAAUGGGCGAAAGCCUGAUGCAGCAACGCCGCGUGAGCGAUGAAGGCCUUUGGGUCGUAAAGCUCUGUCCUUGGGGAAGAAACAAAUGGCGGUACCCAAGGAGGAAGCCCCGGCUAACUACGUGCCAGCAGCCGCGGUAACAC
rnacentral:rRNA from 1 species